ACAAAAAGAACCUUACGAAAAGUGUUGUUCGUCCGUCCUCUCCCUUCAUCAAAUUGUCGAACUCCACCCUCAACCUCGUCUGCAAACGCCGCCGACCAUCUCCAAACUCUUCGCCCACCCUCGACCUCGUCUGAUAAGUGAUAAGUCAAUUACUGUUACCAAAAACCAUUCUCUUUUUGUAUGUAAAACAACUUGAGGUAGCACUUCUAUUCUUCAAAUGGAACGAACCAAUUUCCAAUUUGUAUGAAUCCUCAGCGUCUACUCCGGCGGCUCCUAGCAAGACGCUCACGCCACCUUCUACGGCGGCAGCGAUGCCUUCGGAACUAUGGAUUUUGCAAGAAUCCAUUGAAGCAGCGAAGUCAUGUAUGCGGCAAUUGAUUGAUUUAUAGGUCUUUUUGUAGGUUUGGUAGCCAAAUUUUGGUUCUAAUGUAUUUAUUUAAAUAGCUUGUUCAUCACUUUAUUGUACAAACACUUUAUGACAAACAAUUGUACAUAUAUUAAAGUAUAUAUAUUAAUACGUUCACCAUUUCUUUCAA